GGCGGUUCACAGGUGAUGCACCCCAGAAUCGGGUUCCCUCCUCUCUGCUUCUGGGUGAGUCAUCCGAGAACCUCA
rfam:Myotis lucifugus cont2.28990, whole genome shotgun sequence.